rnacentral:rRNA from 1 species
AUUGGACAAUGGGCGGAAGCCUGACCGCCUGCCGCGUGUGUGAAGAAGGCCUUAUGGUUGUAAGCACUUUAAGCGAGGAGGAGGCUACUCUAGUUAAUACCUAGGGAUAGUGGACGUUACUCGCAGAAUAAGCACCGGCUAACUCUGUGCCAGCAGCCGCGGUAAU